rnacentral:rRNA from 1 species
UAGGGAAUCUUCCACAAUGGACGAAAGUCUGAUGGAGCAACGCCGCGUGAGUGAUGAAGGGUUUCGGCUCGUAAAACUCUGUUGUUGGAGAAGAACAGGUGAUAGAGUAACUGUUAUCAUCUUGACGGUAUCCAACCAGAAAGCCACGGCUAACUACGUGCCAGCAGCCGCGGUAAUACGUAGGUGGCAAGCGUUGUCCGGAUUUAUUGGGCGUAAAGCGAGCGCAGGCGGUUUUUUAGGUCUGAUGUGAAAGCCUUCGGCUUAACCGGAGAAGGGCAUCGGAAACCGGGAGACUUGAGUGCAGAAGAGGACAGUGGAACUCCAUGUGUAGCGGUGAAAUGCGUAGAUAUAUGGAAGAACACCAGUGGCGAAGGCGGCUGUCUGGUCUGUAACUGACGCUGAGGCUCGAAAGCAUGGGUAGCGAACAGGAUUAGAUACCCUGGUAGUCCAUGCCGUAAACGAUGAGUGCUAAGUGUUGGAGGGUUUCCGCCCUUCAGUGCUGCAGCUAACGCAUUAAGCAC